AGGACGAACGCUGGCGGCGUGCUUAACACAUGCAAGUGGAGCGACGAACCAGGGCUUGCCCUGGGGCAGAGCCGCGAACGGGUGAGUAACACGUGGGUUACCUGCCUCGAUGACCGGGACAACCCGAGGAAACUCGGGCUAAUACCGGAUGUGCCCGCAAGGGGAAAGGAAGCUUCGGCCUCCGCAUCGAGAUGGGCCCGCGGCCCAUUAGCUUGUUGGUGAGGUAACGGCUCACCAAGGCUUCGAUGGGUAGCUGGUCUGAGAGGACGAUCAGCCACACUGGGACUGAGACACGGCCCAGACUCCUACGGGAGGCAGCAGUGGGGAAUCUUGCGCAAUGCGCGAAAGCGUGACGCAGCAACGCCGCGUGGGGGAAGAAGGCUUUCGGGUUGUAAACCCCUUUCAGUUGGGACGAAGCUUCUCCGGUGAAUAGCCGGAUGGAGUGACGGUACCUUCACAAGAAGCACCGGCUAACUACGUGCCAGCAGCCGC
rnacentral:rRNA from 1 species